CCAGUGAUAAACUGGAGGAAGGUGGGGAUGACGUCAAGUCAUCAUGGCCCUUACGAGUAGGGCUACACACGUGCUACAAUGGCGCAUACAAAGGGAAGCGACCUCGCGAGAGCAAGCGGACCUCAUAAAGUGCGUCGUAGUCCGGAUUGGAGUCUGCAACUCGACUCCAUGAAGUCGGAAUCGCUAGUAAUCGUAGAUCAGAAUGCUACGGGGAAUACGUUCCCGG
rnacentral:rRNA from 1 species